ACACAUAGUACAGCUUGGUAUGAGGUUAUCUUAUUUACAAUUGGCUUAAAGUUUGUCUAUUCAUACAGGUCAGGUUGAAAGUGCAUUGUAAAACAUAUCAGUUCGUUUUUUCAGUACAUUAAAGUAUGGCAUAUUUGUAUUUGCUACCCAGAGACACUUUCACUAAUAUUAUACUUUAGCUUAUAGUGUGUUUGUUAAACACUAUAUAGCAUGCAUUAUAAAACCUUUAGGAAAAUUACCUGUACACCUUAUUGUAAUUAUUUUUGAUGUUUCUGAAAGAUUGAUCGAGAGCAGGACAGAAGAGUCCUCCCUGAGGAGUGGCCCCAGUGGAUCCCCAGAUUCCCACAGAAGAUUCAGACAGCGAGAGAGAGGAGCCUCCAACAACGAGUGGCGGCCCAAGGUACCUCCAGACAUUUCCAAAUCAAGAACCGAUAGAUCUUUAGGGACAUUCAUUGAAGUGUUCAGUUUUAAUGAGAUGUCACUGUUUGGAUUCUCUGUCUGAUAUGUGUAAAUGUGGCUCAAACUUGAAUCUAAUCUUGCAGAGUCCGCCUAAUACCCAUUGUGAAUAUGAU